rnacentral:rRNA from 1 species
GAUGAACGCUGGCGGCGUGCCUAAUACAUGCAAGUCGAGCGAACAGACGAGGAGCUUGCUCCUCUGACGUUAGCGGCGGACGGGUGAGUAACACGUGGAUAACCUACCUAUAAGACUGGGAUAACUUCGGGAAACCGGAGCUAAUAACGGAUAAUAUAUUCAACCGCAUGGUUCAAUAGUGAAAGACGGUUUUGCUGUCACUUAUAGAUGGAUCCGCGCCGCAUUAGCUAGUUGGUAAGGUAACGGCUUACCAAGGCAACGAUGCGUAGCCGACCUGAGAGGGUGAUCGGCCACACUGGAACUGAGACACGGUCCAGACUCCUACGGGAGGCAGCAGUAGGGAAUCUUCCGCAAUGGGCGAAAGCCUGACGGAGCGACGCCGCGUGAGUGAUGAAGGUCUUCGGAUCGUAAAACUCUUUUAUUAGGGAAGAACAAAUGUGUAAGUAACUAUGCACGUCUUGACGGUACCUAAUCAGAAAGCCACGGCUAACUUCGUG